AUGAACCCUGAAUUUAUGAGUGUGGGCUAAACUGUUAAGCAAAUAUCUCAAAGCUAUGCAAGCAUGUUUCUUAUGUAAAUCAUAGUUCUGCGCAGCUGCUCAGAAAGGCAAGGUGAUUCCCUUCGCUGUUCUUCUGGAUCAAGGCUCCUGCCUGGUAGAGACGUUGGUGAUGUACAUUACAGUGGGAAGCCAGUGACAUUUUUAGGCAGCACAAGGACAGGAUCUGAGUCUGUUGAUGAGCCCUGGAGCAGCUACACUUUGGUGGUAAAGCAGAAAGAACAGCAAGGAGAGAUGGUGCAGGCCACUCAAAAGGAACGAGCCAGAGGGCCCCAUGGAGGAGGAGCCAGAGAUUUCCAGCUUCAGAAGACUCUAC